UACGUAGGGGGCAAGCGUUAUCCGGAUUUACUGGGUGUAAAGGGAGCGUAGACGGCUUUGCAAGCCAGAUGUGAAAGCCCGGGGCUCAACCUCGGGACUGCAUUUGGAACUGUAUGGCUGGAGUGUCGGAGAGGCAGGCGGAAUUCCUAGUGUAGCGGUGAAAUGCGUAGAUAUUAGGAGGAACACCAGUGGCGAAGGCGGCCUGCUGGACGAUGACUGACGUUGAGGCUCGAAAGCGUGGGGAGCAAACAGG
rnacentral:rRNA from 1 species